AAUAUUUUAAUAAAAAACCAAGUAAGAACUGACUCCAUUAACAAGGGAGGCCCUACAAUAUACAUUCUCUCAACAUUUUAAUACUAAGAAGAUAAGGUGGUGAUGCCCAAUUGGACAACUUCCAUGACUAUAAUUCAGAGUAAAGAAAAGAUCCAACCAAACAAAAGCAUUAACAUCUUCUCUUUUAAAACUUUUUUAUUCACGCAGUCUCGGUCAAUU
rnacentral:lncRNA from 1 species